UGGGGAAUUUUGGACAAUGGGGGCAACCCUGAUCCAGCAAUGCCGCGUGUGUGAAGAAGGCCUUCGGGUUGUAAAGCACUUUUGUCCGGAAAGAAAACGUCGUGGUUAAUACCCGUGGCGGCUGACGGUACCGGAAGAAUAAGCACCGGCUAACUACGUGCCAGCAGCCGCGGUAAUACGUAGGGUGCAAGCGUUAAUCGGAAUUACUGGGCGUAAAGCGUGCGCAGGCGGUCCGCUAAGACAGAUGUGAAAUCCCCGGGCUUAACCUGGGAACUGCAUUUGUGACUGGCGGGCUAGAGUAUGGCAGAGGGGGGUAGAAUUCCACGUGUAGCAGUGAAAUGCGUAGAGAUGUGGAGGAAUACCGAUGGCGAAGGCAGCCCCCUGGGCCAAUACUGACGCUCAUGCACGAAAGCGUGGGGGAGCAAACAGGAUUAGAUACCCUGGUAGUCCACGCCCUAAACGAUGUCAACUAGUUGUCGGGUCUUCAUUGACUUGGUAACGUAGCUAACGCGUGAAGUUGA
rnacentral:rRNA from 1 species